GCGGAUAUGGCGGAAUAGGCAGACGCGCUAGAUUCAGGUUCUAGUGAGGGUUCCCUCAUGCAGGUUCAAGUCCUGUUAUCCGCA
rnacentral:tRNA from 2 species